rnacentral:rRNA from 1 species
UCAUGCCUACGGGAGGUAGCAGUGAGGAAUAUUGGUCAAUGGGCGGAAGCCUGAACCAGCCAAGUCGCGUGAGGGAAUAAGGCCCUACGGGUCGUAAACCUCUUUUGCCGGGGAGCAAGGGCGGGGACGUGUCCCGGCCCGGAGAGUACCCGGAGAAAAAGCAUCGGCUAACUCCGUGCCAGCAGCCGCGGUAAUAUGGAGGAUGCGAGCGUUAUCCGGAUUUAUUGGGUUUAAAGGGUGCGUAGGCGGGCUUUUACGUCAGCGGUAAAAAUUCGGGGCUCAACCCCGUCCGGCCGUUGACACUG